UCCCCUAAGUGAUGUGCCUCUUCUCUUCUGCCUGGGCCCUGCCAAAAAAGGGGAUUGUAACAAAUCACUGGAACAAGAACCCAGGUCAGAGGGGAUUACCACUCUCUCAUAUAUGGUAUAAAGCCAUUGAAUUGUACACAAUAUGUCACCACAGAGCCCAGUCUACAGGUGAGAAUUUCACAUAUAACUGCACCCAGCACACAGGUGAAAUUGUGACUCUUGUAUGCUCAUCCAGCC